rnacentral:rRNA from 1 species
CUACGUGCCAGCAGCCGCGGUAAUACGGAAGGUCCAGGCGUUAUCCGGAUUUAUUGGGUUUAAAGGGAGUGUAGGCGGUCUGUUAAGCGUGUUGUGAAAUUUAGGUGCUCAACAUCUACCUUGCAGCGCGAACUGGCGGACUUGAGUGCACGCAACGUAUGCGGAAUUCAUGGUGUAGCGGUGAAAUGCUUAGAUAUCAUGACGAACUCCGAUUGCGAAGGCAGCGUACGGGAGUGUUACUGACGCUUAAGCUCGAAGGUGCGGGUAUCGAACAGGAUUAGAUACCCUGGUAGUCCGCACGGUAAACGAUGGAUGCCCGCUGUUAGCGCCUGGCGUUAGCGGCUAAGCGAAAGCAUUAAGCAUCCCACCUGGGGAGUACGCCGGCAACGGUGAAACUCAAAGGAAUUGACGGGGGCCCGCACAAGCGGAGGAACAUGUGGUUUAAUUCGAUGAUACGCGAGGAACCUUACCCGGGCUUGAAUUGCAGACGAACGAUUCAGAGA